rnacentral:rRNA from 1 species
GACGAACGCUGGCGGCGUGCUUAACACAUGCAAGUCGAACGGAAAGGCCCUGCUUUUGUGGGGUGCUCGAGUGGCGAACGGGUGAGUAACACGUGAGUAACCUGCCCUUGACUUUGGGAUAACUUCAGGAAACUGGGGCUAAUACCGGAUAGGAGCUCCUGCUGCAUGGUGGGGGUUGGAAAGUUUCGGCGGUUGGGGAUGGACUCGCGGCUUAUCAGCUUGGUGGUGGGGUAGUGGCUUACCAAGGCUUUGACGGGUAGCCGGCCUGAGAGGGUGACCGGCCACAUCGGGACUGAGAUACGGCCCAGACUCCUACGGGAGGCAGAAGUGGGGAAUAUUGCACAAUGGGCUGAAGCCUGAUGCAGCAACGCCGCGUGCGGGAUGACGGCCUUCGGGUUGUAAUCCGCUUUCGCCUGUGACGAAGCGUGAGUGACGGUAAUGGGUAAAGAAGCACCGGCUAACUACGUG